AACCCUACAACGCAGGCAGCCAGGCACAUAGCAGUUAGCAUACCACCACCAUGCAGGCACGCAGCAGACCAGCAGUCUCUCACUCUCAGAAUUGUCUCUCCCUCUCAGCCUCUCAUCUCAUCUCAAACUCUCAGGCUCUCACUCUCAGCUCCUUCUAUCGUCUCUUAGCCUCUCAAUCUUAUCUCAAUCUCAGUCCUAGAGCUCCUUUGUACCGUAGUCCGCAGUCACAGUCUCGUUUCCUGACUUAGUCUCAAUCUCAGUCUCGAGCUCAUCUCCACUGCAAUCACAAUCUCGCUACUCGCCUCUCAGUCUCGAGCUCGUCUCUGCCAUAAUCAGUCACAGUCUUGAAAUCUUCUCUGCCAUAGUCCUCAAUCACAAUCUCACCUCUCGCCUCUCAGUCUCAGUCUCAAAGUCUUGAGCUCGUUGGUGCCUCACAAUCUUAGUCUCAAGCUCGUUCUGCCGUGGUCUCCUCUCCCUCUCGCCUCUCAGUUUCAGUCUCACAGUCUCAAUGUCAACUCAGCCUCAUAGUUACAGUCUCGCCGUGGUCUCCUCCUCCUCUCGCCUUUCAGGUUUGCCUCCUUUAUCUUGAUCUACUUCUAGUUAUUUAGUGUUGGUUGCUGCUCUGAUUGUCUUUCGAUUUGGUAUUGUUGAUUUCUGGUUUUUGAUUAUUUAUGGUCUCAAUUCUAAUUGUUGAUUCUUGGUUUUUGAUCCUCUGCCUCCUCUAUCUUGAUAUGCUUUGAAUGUUGUUAGUUUAUUUUUAAUUUUGAUUAUAUGAUUUUAUUUCUGAUCCUGAUAAAUUAGGCCUUGUAAUACUAUUCUGUUAUUUUAUUUUUAGUUUUGAUUGUAUGAUUUAUGCUUGUUUGUAGUAUGUCAUCAUCUAGUGCCAAAAGUAAUGAAACUAGUAAGAAGUUAGUUGAGGAGGAAAGUAAUAAAGAAUCAACUCCCACCUAAUUUACUACAUUCAACAAGAAACCACCUAAGAAAGCUAAAAGUUAUACUUCAGAUGUUUGGAAGUCCUUUUCUAAAGUGGUUAAUGAAGAGGGAGCAACAAAAGCAAAGUGUAAUGGUUGUGGCACUUUGCUAGCUAGUAGUGGAAAUCAUGGCACUUCACAUCUAAAUCGACAUGUUAAACAGUGUGUAGCUCUUCCAAAGUUUCAUAAUAUAGGCUUAAUGAUGUUAGAUAAUGAAGGCAAUGUUAGGCCUAGACAAAUUAAUAAUCCACGUAUUCGGGAGUUGUUGGGAUGUUGAUUGUUGAACAUGAUUUGCCAUAUUCCUUUAUUGAAUUUCCUCUUUUAAGACAGCUGCUUAAGGAAUGUAAUCCUGAUGUUAAGAUUAUGAGUAGGAAAACUGCUGUGUCAGAUGUUAGGAGAUUUUAUGAGCUCCAAAAAGAGAAGUUGAAAGUGAUUUUAUCAAAGAGUCCUAGCAAAAUUUGUUUGACCUCUAAUUGUUGGACUGUUGUAACAUUCGAAGGUUAUAUUUGCUUGACAGCACAUUUUGUGGAUGAAAAUUAGAAACUUAAUAGUAGAAUACUUUUUUUUUGUAAGAUGGAACCUCCACAUUCUAGACAUAAAUUAGCUAGCAAAGUUUUUGAUAGCUUGUGUGAGUGGGGGAUUGAAAAGAAAGUUUUUACAAUUACUUUAGACAAUGUAUUUGUAAAUAAUUGUAUGGCUGAAAUCUUGAAAGAAAUGUUGGUUUUGCAAAAUAACUUGAUUUGUGAUGGGAAAUUUUUUCAUGUGAGGUGUUGUGCACAUAUCUUGAACUUGAUAGUUCAAGAAGGUUUAAAGGUAACAAAUGUUGCGAUAAAUAAAAUUCGAGAAAGCAUUAAAUAUGUUAAGAUGUUAGAGUCCAAGAUGAAGACUUUCAGGCAAUGCAUUCAGCAAGUUGGUGGCAUUGACACCUCAAUAGGAUUGUGAUUAGAUGUGCCUACCAGAUGGAAUUCCACCUAUGAUAUGCUUGAUAGUGGAAUUAGAUAUAAAAGAGCUUUUGUUUGCAUGUCUUGUCGUGACACUAGUUUUAAACACUGCCUGUCGAAUGAAGAAUGGAGGAGAGCAGAGGAAAUGAGCACUUUCUUACAGCCAUUUGCAAUCAUUACAACUUUGAUUUCUAGCACAUCCUAUCCUACCUCAAAUAUGUAUAUUGGGCAAAUAUCAAAAAUUGAUAUUUUGUUAAAUGAAGCCAUUGGCAAUCGUGAUCUUGUGAUUUCUAGUAUGGCAAUUAAAAUGAAGGAGAAAUUUGACAAGUAUUGGAGUGACUAUAGUGUAAUCCUUUCUAUUGAAAGUGUUUUUGAUCCACGAGCAAAGCUUGAAGUGAUUAAGUAUUUUUAUUCACUGAUUGAUCCUGUAAAUUACUUCAUGAAAGUUAAUAAUAUCAAGCAGAAGUUGUAUUGUAUGUUUGAUCAAUAUAAAGAAAUGGGUGGAUCUCACUAAGUUCAACUCCAACACAAAGUCAACCAAGCUCAAGCACUAGUGGAAGGAUGUUAGAGAAGAAGAGGGAACCAACCAUGUCUUGGACUCAAGCUUAUGGUGACUUCCUUAAUUUCGAGAGUAGGGAUACUUCUUCCAUUAAAAAAUCUAAAUUAGAUUACUAUUUGGAAAAAGCUUCGCUUGAUAGUCACCAGUUGCCAGAGUUAGAUGUGUUGCAUUGGUGGAAGACUAAUCAACAAUGAUUUCCCAAUCUUUCAAGGAUGGUAUGUGAUGUUCUGAGUAUUCCGAUCACCACAGUAACUAGUGAAUUGGAAUUUAGCAUCGGCUCCCGUGUUCUCACAAAGUAUCGUUGCCACCUCCUUCCGGAUAAUGUGCAAGCAUUGAUUUGUACCCGCAAUUGGUUGAAUGGUUUUGUGCCAUUUUAUAGUAAUUUUUAUAUUUUAUCUUGUGAUAUAUGUAUAGAUAUAUAUUUGAUAAUGACACAAUUUAAUUGUUAAUUAUUAUAGGUGAUGUUGAUGAAGAAGCUAUAGAGAUAGUUGAUAUUGAGCCUCCACCUCCACCUUCCACAAGUGGACCUACAUCUGAGGGUUCCAAUAUUUUAUUUGUGGAUGAUGAUGAGGGGGAUCUUGAUUAGGAUUGAUGAUAAUGUUUGUCUUCAUCUUAUUUGGACUUUUAAAUUUUUUGUUUAUGUUUUAAAUUAUGUGAGACUUUGGUUGGAUGUAUGUUGAAUUUUAAAAUAUUUUAAGUAAAUUUUAAUGUUGAAUUUUAUUUUA